CUCCUACCUCCUCUUGUUUCUGCAGCUAAACAUAGAUUAGGGAAAUAUUUUAGGUUUGGUGUGAGGGUCCAGUUUAAGACUAUCUGAGGCGGUUUUAGAAUUACCAUCAGCAUUUGGAGGUUCCUGGAGGCCCCUGUGAUCUGAUACAAGCUGGCCAGUGCUCAGGCUCUUAAUUCUCAUGGCAACCUAAACUGACUGACUAACACCACUGGGACAACCUAAUAUCCUUACUAUAUUUAAAGUCUGGCAGGCGCCCGCCACCACGCCCAGCUAAUUUUUUUAUUUUUAGUAGAGACGGGGUUUUCACCGUGGUCUCGNNNNNNNNNNUAGUAGAGAGAUAUAAUGUACAGGGUAGGUUCAACAGGACUUUUUUAUUACUUGGAUAUUGGUGAGAGGGAGGAAGAUGGAAAAGGGUUGCUGAAAACUCUUAAAUGUAAACUCUGGGUAAAGAAAAGACUAGAGGUAGCAAUAUAAGAAAGAGGGC
rnacentral:lncRNA from 1 species